GUUUGAUGUUCUAACGUGGACCCGUUACCCGGGUUGCGGACAGUGUCUGGUGGGUAGUUUGACUGGGGCGGUCUCCUCCUAAAGAGUAACGGAGGAGCACGAAGGUUGGCUAAUCCUGGUCGGACAUCAGGAGGUUAGUGCAAUGGCAUAAGCCAGCUUGACUGCGAGCGUGACGGCGCGAGCAGGUGCGAAAGCAGGUCAUAGUGAUCCGGUGGUUCUGAAUGGAAGGGCCAUCGCUCAACGGAUAAAAGGUACUCCGGGGAUAACAGGCUGAUACCGCCCAAGAGUUCAUAUCGACGGCGGUGUUUGGCACCUCGAUGUCGGCUCAUCACAUCCUGGGGCUGAAGUAGGUCCCAAGGGUAUGGCUGUUCGCCAUUUAAAGUGGUACGCGAGCUGGGUUUAGAACGUCGUGAGACAGUUCGGUCCCUAUCUGCCGUGGGCGCUGGAGAACUGAGGGGGGCUGCUCCUAGUACGAGAGGACCGGAGUGGACGCAUCACUGGUGUUCGGGUUGUCAUGCCAAUGGCACUGCCCGGUAGCUAAAUGCGGAAGAGAUAAGUGCUGAAAGCAUCUAAGCACGAAACUUGCCCCGA
rnacentral:rRNA from 4 species